GGGUCGGUAGCUCAGUCGGUAGAGCAACAGCCUCUUAAGCUGAUGGUCGUGGGUUCGAUCCCCACCCGACCCACCA
rnacentral:tRNA from 1 species